UACGGGGGGGAGCAAGCGUUGUUCGGAUUUACUGGGCGUAAAGGGCGCGUAGGCGGUAGCACAAGUCAGUUGUGAAAUCUCCGGGCUUAACUCGGAAAGGUCAACUGAUACUGUGCGACUAGAGUGCAGAAGGGGCAACUGGAAUUCUCGGUGUAGCGGUGAAAUGCGUAGAGAUCCGGAAGAACACCGGAGGCGAAGGCGGCUUGCUGGGCUUGGUCUGACGCUGAGGCGCGAAAGCGUGGGGAGCAAACAGG
rnacentral:rRNA from 1 species